CCCUUAGAUGUUCUGGGCUGCACGCGCGCUACACUGACGCCUACAGCGAGUACUUCCCAGCCCCGAGAGGUGGCUGGUAAUCAGCAAUAGGCGUCGUGAUGGGGAUAGAUCUUUGGAAUUAUGGAUCUUGAACGAGGAAUGCCUAGUAAGCGCAGGUCAUUAGCCUGCGCUGAUUAAGUCCCUGCCCUUUGUACACACCGCCCGUCGCUCCUACCGAUUUCGAGUGGUCCGGUGAAUCUUUCGGACUGCGCGCGGCCUCGUGCCGUGUCGCGGAAAGUCAGGUAAACCUUAUCACUUAGAGGAAGGAGAAGUCGUAACA
rnacentral:rRNA from 1 species